rnacentral:tRNA from 1 species
GCAGGAGUAGCGAAGUGGUCUAACGCGCAAGCUUCAGAGGCUUGUCCCUUAGUGGGUUCCCAGGUUCGAAUCCUGGCCCCUGCA